AGUAACGCGUGAGGAACCUGCCUUUCAGUGGGGGACAACAGUUGGAAACGACUGCUAAUACCGCAUAAUGUACGGGCAUCGCAUGGUACUGGUACCAAAGAUUUAUCGCUGAGAGAUGGCCUCGCGUCUGAUUAGCUAGUUGGUAGGGUAACGGCCUACCAAGGCGACGAUCAGUAGCCGGACUGAGAGGUUGGCCGGCCACAUUGGGACUGAGAUACGGCCCAGACUCCUACGGGAGGCAGCAG
rnacentral:rRNA from 1 species